AUUAAGACCGGGGUUGCGUGAGGGAUGGCAGCGGCAUCCUUUUAUGGAGCAUCGCGGAAUAAAAGAUACAGCGGAUAGCCCGACCCAAA
rnacentral:sRNA from 1 species